UUAAACGAACAAACUUCAGCCAGUAAAGAGGCAAGCACUAACGUCUGGUUGAUGAUCUCUGACCUUUGAGCCAGAGCGUGAUUAUAACUGCCUGCUUGCUCCCCUUGGUGCAUGUGACGGCUGUAGAGGAUCGUUCCUGCCGGGCCUGGUCAGGGUGGCUCAGUGAUUGUCUGACAGACU
rnacentral:snoRNA from 1 species